GACCCUUCUCAGAAGACAAUGGCCUUAUACUGUUUUUAUCAGCUCCUCGGGCAGCCUGGGCUCUUAUUGCCUGAAUUGCAAAGAUCUGGCAUGCACUGGAUCCCAUCUACAUGAGGGCGUCAUCUUGCAGGGCCUGGGAAGAGAAUCUUUUCUACUAUGGGAUUUGCCCUGUAGGUCAUCAUCAGAGACUGGACUUCCUCCAACUCUGCUGGUCUUUGUUAAGGCAGUUAAUUCAGAAUGAGGAUGGGAUGAGGAUGAUGGGUGAAAUGUUAUUGUUGCUGUACUGGAUUCAUGUUACAUUUCAUCAUACAAUGCAAAUAACUUCAACAGCCUAAGGUAGAAAACUAAUAUCACCAUUGUUAUAAUUGUUAUAAUGUUUUUGUUUCUCUGAGGCUUGUUAUAAUGCUCAAAACCAUGCUAUCGAAUCUGAAUUUAAAAAAAAUCACAUAUAUAUUUAUUAAUUACCAGCCACGGUGGCACAGUGGU